rnacentral:rRNA from 2 species
ACACGGCCCAGACUCCUACGGGAGGCAGCAGUGGGGAAUAUUGCGCAAUGGGCGAAAGCCUGACGCAGCGACGCCGCGUGAGGGACGAAGGCCUUCGGGUUGUAAACCUCUUUCAGCAGGGACGAAGCGAAAGUGACGGUACCUGCAGAAGAAGCACCGGCCAACUACGUGCCAGCAGCCGCGGUAAUACGUAGGGUGCAAGCGUUGUCCGGAAUUAUUGGGCGUAAAGAGCUCGUAGGCGGUCUGUCACGUCGGCUGUGAAAACCCGAGGCUCAACCUCGGGCCUGCAGUCGAUACGGGCAGACUAGAGUUCGGUAGGGGAGACUGGAAUUCCUGGUGUAGCGGUGAAAUGCGCAGAUAUCAGGAGGAACACCGGUGGCGAAGGCGGGUCUCUGGGCCGAAACUGACGCUGAGGAGCGAAAGCGUGGGGAGCAAACAGGAUUAGAUACCCUGGUAGUCCACGCCGUANACGUUGGGCGCUAGGUGUGGGUUUCCUUCCACGGGAUCCGUGCCGCAGCUAACGCAUUAAGCGCCCCG